UUAAUACCGAAUGUGGAUAACGUCCCGCAUGGGAUGUUAUUUAAAGAUUUAUCCCUUCAGGAGGAACUCGCGCCCCAUUAGCUUGUUGGUAAGGUAACGGCUUACCAAGGCAAAGAUGGGUAGCUGGUCUGAGAGGACGACCAGCCACACUGGAACUGAGAAACUGUCCAGACUCCUACGGGAGGCUGCAGUCGAGAAUCUUCCACAAUGCGCGAAAGCGUGAUGGAGCGAUGCCGCGUGCAGGAUGAAGGCCUUCGGGUUGUAAACUGCUGUCACAGGGGACGAAUAAUGACGGUACUCUGGGAGGAAGCCACGGCUAACUACGUGCCAGCAGCCGCGGUAAUACGUAGGUGGCGAGCGUUGUUCGGAUUUAUUGGGCGUAAAGGGUCCGCAGGGGGCUAAUUAAGUCUGGUGUGAAAUCUCUCGGCUCAACCGAGAAACUGCAUUGGAUACUGAUUAGCUAGAGCAUCGGAGAGGAGAAUGGAAUUCCUGGAGUAGCGGUAAAAUGCGUAGAUAUCAGGAGGAACAUCAAAAGCGAAGGCAGUUCUCUGGACGAUUGCUGACCCUCAGGGACGAAAGCGUGGGUAGCAAACGGGAUUAGAUACCCUGGUAGUCCACGCCCUAAACGGUGUAAACUUGAUGUGGGAGGAUUUAACCCCUUCCGUGUCGAAGCUAACGCGAUAAGUUUACCGCCUGGGGACUACGGUCGCAAGGCUAAAACUCAAAGGAAUUGACGGGGGCCCGCACAAGCGGUGGAGCAUGUGGCUCAAUUCGAGGCAACGCGAAGAACCUUACCUGGGUUUGACAUAUACUUGACUGCCAUGGAAACAUGGUUUUCCUUCGGGACAGGUAUACAGGUGCUGCAUGGCUGUCGUCAGCUCGUGCCGUGAGGUGUUCGGUUAAGUCCGGCAACGAGCGCAACCCGUGUGAUUAGUUGCCAGCAGGUAAAGCUGGGCACUCUAAUCAGACUGCCCGUGUUAAGCGGGAGGAAGGUGCGGAUGACGUCAAGUCCGUAUGGCCUUUAUAUCCAGGGCUGCACACGUGCUACAAUGGACGGCACAAUGGGUUGCAAUACCGCAAGGUGGAGCUAAUCCUCAAAACCGUCCCUAGUUCAGAUUGCAGUCUGCAACUCGACUGCAUGAAGUUGGAAUCGCUAGUAAAUGCGUAUCAGCCACGACGCAUUGAAUACGUUCCCGGGCCUUGUACACACCGCCCGUCACAUCAUGGGAGCUGAUAGCACCCGAAGUCGUUGACUCAACCCUAACGGGAGAGAGACGCCUAAGGUGUGGUUAGUGACUGGGAUGAGGUCGAAACAAGGUA
rnacentral:rRNA from 1 species